AUGUUUGGAUAUCUUUCAAUUACUUCUGAACAAGAAAGAUGUAGUGCCAUGCUAAGUUUGGAUGUGGAGUUGCAAUUUAACCUGCUUUGCAGCUCCAUUUUGUCUUGCUACAACAAUAGCUUGCCUCUAUGGUUCAGGGGUCAGGAACUUACAUGGGCUUGCUCUUCUUUCAUGUAUUAUAUAUGGGGUCCACGCUGCUUAGAUUGUCUAAAAUUUAUCUUCAUUUCUACAAGUUUUCUUGUCAAUGAACUUGACGGCUAUUUGGUCAUGUAUUUGACUGCUUGUAUUUUUUAUUUCCUAAUUGUGCACUUAGUCUGCAUAAAAUUCGUUAGUACAUAUUUCCUUGCAAUUAUACUAAAUUUCUGUUUGCAUCCUUUUUCCAUUUUGGUGGAAUGUAGACAUUGCUUAAGAUGUAGUUUGAUAUUUUUCUAG
rnacentral:rRNA from 1 species